AAACUUCUGACUUCAGGAUUAAGCUUUUUAAAAGCUAGAACUCUCUCUUUUGCAGCAGGGCUUAAUUUCAGAUGAGCAAUGGAUAUAGCUGUACAAGAAAUAAAAAGAGAUAUUAGUGAUCCUCAUUAUAUGAGACAAGGCUGAUAGUGAUCCUUCGAGGAUCCUCUAUCCUACCAUGAUGGCCCAUUCCUUGGGCAGAUCCUUCCCAUCUGGGACGGAAUCCCUUCUAACAAAGAAAAAGCGACGCUUCCAGUUUGUGUCAUUCUUAGUAACCUUGAAGACAGGGUGAUCCUCCCCAGCUUUCCGUUUUAGCAGAUAUCGGCAAGAACCAAACGUGGUAAGAUCAUAAAGUGCAGCCAACUCUGCCAUCCCCAAAUCAAUUCCUUUCUGCUCGAUGAUCCUCUCGAAGGUAUACAGGACCCUCCAGAUCAUCGGCAUGGCUUGGAUAUAGGAGAUGC
rnacentral:lncRNA from 1 species